rnacentral:lncRNA from 1 species
UUAAGUAAGCAUUCUGAAGCCACUUUUUCACAUAUAUUUGUUUAUUUUUCAUUAUUUAGAACUCAAUAUCAAUGCGAUCCUAUUCUUGUUAUAUGUGAGCAUAGAUAUGAGUAUGGUUGCAAUUUGAUCAAAUUAUCUGAAAUUAAAAUUACUGACGGACAGGACAAAAACUAUAUACCCUUUCUGUAUCUUGAAGCAAGUAGUAUUGCAUUUCUUAUAAAAACAAGGUACUGUACAACAUGUUGUUCCCCAUAAAAAUGACACACAACAUGUUAUCAUGAAUAAAAAUGCUUGAAAGCACUGAAUGCUAAAGAUUGCUUCAAUUCAUCAAAUUAUAAUCCUGGUAUCUUUGAUAACUUUCUUUUUAUCAGUGGAAAAUUAAAUAAAAUAAUGCGUUGGUUAUUGUUGAUUUAACAGCUAAUUUAGAAAAGGAAGAUAACUCCAAUUUUAUUAAAGAUGAGGUUGACAAUGACAUAAUUCAUAUUUUUAUAACAAAUGUCAGAUUCCUGCACUUUGCAAAAGUUAU